AAACCCAAAGGGAGAAAGCACGAGAGAGAGAGAGACAAGAGAUUGUUGAAUUGAAUGUGCAAAGAGAGAGAGAGAAGGAUCGGAGAGGCAAUGGCAUGACUCUUGUGGACGCAAACCCAUGUCUUAAAAGAUGCUCUUUGUCGGCUCUCAUGCUCUUCCCUUCUCCACGUGCCCUUCUCCUUCCUCUCGUUUGCAUUUUG